rnacentral:rRNA from 1 species
GACGAACGCUGGCGGCGUGCCUAAUACAUGCAAGUAGAACGCUGAAGGAGGAGCUUGCUUCUCUGGAUGAGUUGCGAACGGGUGAGUAACGCGUAGGUAACCUGCCUGGUAGCGGGGGAUAACUAUUGGAAACGAUAGCUAAUACCGCAUAAUAGUAGAUGUUGCAUGACAUUUGCUUAAAAGGUGCAAUUGCAUCACUACCAGAUGGACCUGCGUUGUAUUAGCUAGUUGGUGGGGUAACGGCUCACCAAGGCGACGAUACAUAGCCGACCUGAGAGGGUGAUCGGCCACACUGGGACUGAGACACGGCCCAGACUCCUACGGGAGGCAGCAGUAGGGAAUCUUCGGCAAUGGACGGAAGUCUGACCGAGCAACGCCGCGUGAGUGAAGAAGGUUUUCGGAUCGUAAAGCUCUGUUGUAAGAGAAGAACGAGUGUGAGAGUGGAAAGUUCACACUGUGACGGUACCUUACCAGAAAGGGACGGCUAACUACGUG